rnacentral:rRNA from 1 species
CAGUCGCCACGGGAAUACAGAGGGUGCGAGCGUUAAUCGGAUUUACUGGGCGUAAAGCGUACGUAGGCGGCUUCUUAAGUCGGAUGUGAAAUCCCUGAGCUUAACUUAGGAAUUGCAUUCGAUACUGGGAAGCUAGAGUAUGGGAGAGGAUGGUAGAAUUCCAGGUGUAGCGGUGAAAUGCGUAGAGAUCUGGAGGAAUACCGAUGGCGAAGGCAGCCAUCUGGCCUAAUACUGACGCUGAGGUACGAAAGCAUGGGGAGCAAACAGGAUUAGAUACCCGAGUAGUCCCUGUCUCUUAUAC